rnacentral:rRNA from 1 species
ACGCUCGACACCUACGGGAGCAGCAGUGGGGAAUAUUGCACAAUGGGGGAAACCCUGAUGCAGCGACGCCGCGUGGAGGAAGAAGGUCUUCGGAUUGUAAACUCCUGUUGUUGGGGAAAAAGAGGAUGGUACCCAACAAGGAAGUGACGGCUAACUACGUGCCAGCAGCUGCGGUAAUCUGAGCGGGCUGGCAAGGC